CCGCUGCACAGCCCCUCUGGGCAGAGCCCCUUCACGUGGAUGGCGAUCACCUCAGCUCGCCAGCUGCCUGUCUUGUCUCAAAGACAAGGCGACAGAACGCACACCCCGCCCCAAUCGGUGCCCCGGCGCUGUCGCCCGAGUCACCUUCCUUUGCCCUUCUCCGACAGCACCACGGGCUUGCUCGCUCGCUCUCAGGAAAAACUGAGGAAACAAGCUUGGUUCCCGGAGCCAGCGGGGACUGUGGAGACACAGCUAGGAUCCUCAACAGCUCGGAAAUCCUAUCACGUUGGUUCCCUGAGACUUGCAGGAACUGACAGCUGGCUGACAAAAACUCAUCCAGGGAGAGAAAAGACAUAAAUGAAGUCUGAAAUUUUGAAUAACAUUUUCAGGAGGAGACAGGAAGCAAGAACAUUUCUGAAGUAGGAUAAUCGUAGGCUUGAGAAAUGAUCUUCAUCACAGGUAGGGCUUAGCUCUUUAUCUAUGAAGAGUAGAUAAAUUGAAUUUU
rnacentral:lncRNA from 1 species